GACGUAGGGGGCGAGCGUUGUCCGGAAUUACUGGGCGUAAAGAGCACGUAGGCGGGAACUUAAGUCAGGUGUGAAAGACCGAGGCUCAACCUCGGGUAUGCACUUGAAACUGGGUUUCUUGAGGGCAGGAGAGGAAAGCAGAAUUCCUGGUGUAGCGGUGAAAUGCGUAGAAAUCAGGAGGAAUACCAGUGGCGAAGGCGGCUUUCUGGACUGACCCUGACGCUGAGGUGCGAAAGCGUGGGUAGCAAACAGGAUUAGAUACCCCCGUAGUCCCUGAGCGGG
rnacentral:rRNA from 1 species